rnacentral:rRNA from 1 species
GCCUUUCGGGGUGGAUUAGUGGCGAACGGGUGAGUAACACGUGGGCAAUCUGCCCUUCACUCUGGGACAAGCCCUGGAAACGGGGUCUAAUACCGGAUAACACUCUGUCCUGCAUGGGACGGGGUUAAAAGCUCCGGCGGUGAAGGAUGAGCCCGCGGCCUAUCAGCUUGUUGGUGGGGUAAUGGCCUACCAAGGCGACGACGGGUAGCCGGCCUGAGAGGGCGACCGGCCACACUGGGACUGAGACACGGCCCAGACUCCUACGGGAGGCAGCAGUGGGGAAUAUUGCACAAUGGGCGAAAGCCUGAUGCAGCGACGCCGCGUGAGGGAUGACGGCCUUCGGGUUGUAAACCUCUUUCAGCAGGGAAGAAGCGAAAGUGACGGUACCUGCAGAAGAAGCGCCGGCUAACUACGUGCCAGCAGCCGCGGUAAUACGUAGGGCGCAAGCGUUGUCCGGAAUUAUUGGGCGUAAAGAGCUCGUAGGCGGCUUGUCACGUCGGAUGUGAAAGCCCGGGGCUUAACCCCGGGUCUGCAUUCGAUACGGGCUAGCUAGAGUGUGGUAGGGGAGAUCGGAAUUCCUGGUGUAGCGGUGAAAUGCGCAGAU